rnacentral:rRNA from 1 species
UACAGAGGUCCCAAGCGUUGUUCGGAUUCACUGGGCGUAAAGGGUGCGUAGGUGGCCAGGUAAGUUUGGUGUGAAAGCUCGGAGCUUAACUCCGAAAAGUCAUUGAAUACUAUCUGGCUGGAGGGUCGGAGGGGAGACUGGAAUUACCGGUGUAGCGGUGAAAUGCGUAGAUAUCGGUAGGAACACCAGUGGCGAAGGCGGCUUACUGGUCCGGAACUGACGCUGAGGUGCGAAAGCGUGGGGAGCAAACAGG